CAAAAGUUGCGAAGUGGGGAUAGUCGGCCUGGAGGGAGGACAACAAAGACGGUCCUUUGACUUACUUUUACAGUUACCGGUUCAGUUGUGUUUUGGUCUUCGAGGAGAGAACUUAGAAAUUUUCGCGGAGGCCGCUCGUGCGAUUAUUAACGAACAGACUAAAGUUGCGGAGUGGGGAGAGUCGGCUUGGAUGGACGACAACAAAGACGGUCCUUUGACUUACUUUUACAGUUACCGGUUCAGUUGUGUUUUGGUCUUCGACGAGAGAACUUAGAAAUUUUCGCGGAGGCCAUUCGUGCGAUUAUUAACGAACAGGUAGUUUAAAUAUAUAUCUGUAUCACUCAUGGGUACAAUAUUAUAUACAGUUUGUUGGAUUUUAGACAAAAGUUGCGAAGUGGGGAUAGUCGGCCUGGAGGGACGACAACAAAGACGGUCCUUUGACUUACUUUUACAGUUACCGGUUCAGUUGUGUUUUGGUCUUCGAGGAGAGAACUUAGAAAUUUUCGCGGAGGCCGCUCGUGCGAUUAUUAACGAACAGGUAGUUUAAAUAUAUAUCUGUAUCACUCAUGGGUACAAUAUUAUAUACAGUUUGUUGGAUUUUAGACAAAAGUUGCGAAGUGGGGAUAGUCGGCCUGGAGGGACGACAACAAAGACGGUCCUUUGACUUACUUUUACAGUUACCGGUUCAGUUGUGUUUUGGUCUUCGACGAGAGAACUUAGAAAUUUUCGCGGAGGCCAUUCGUGCGAUUAUUAACGAACAGGUAGUUUAAAUAUAUAUCUGUAUCACUCAUGGGUACAAUAUUAUAUACAGUUUGUUGGAUUUUAGACAAAAGUUGCGAAGUGGGGAUAGUCGGCCUGGAGGGACGACAACAAAGACGGUCCUUUGACUUACUUUUACAGUUACCGGUUCAGUUGUGUUUUGGUUUUCGACGAGAGAACUUAGAAAUUUUUGCGGAGGCCAUUCGUGCGAUUAUUAACGAACAGGUAGUUUAAAUAUAUAUCUGUAUCACUCAUGCGUACAAUAUUCUAUACAGUUUGUUGGAUUUUAGACUAAAGUUGCGGAGUGGGGAGAGUCGGCUUGGAGGGACGACAACAAAGACGGUCCUUUGACUUACUUUUACAGUUACCGGUUCAGUUGUGUUUUGGUCUUCGAGGAGAGAACUUAGAAAUUUUCGCGGAGGCCGCUCGUGCGAUUAUUAACGAACAGGUAGUUUAAAUAUAUAUCUGUAUCACUCAUGGGUACAAUAUUAUAUACAGUUUGUUGGAUUUUAGACAAAAGUUGCGAAGUGGGGAUAGUCGGCCUGGAGGGACGACAACAAAGACGGUCCUUUGACUUACUUUUACAGUUACCGGUUCAGUUGUGUUUUGGUUUUCGACGAGAGAACUUAGAAAUUUUUGCGGAGGCCAUUCGUGCGAUUAUUAACGAACAGGUAGUUUAAAUAUAUAUCUGUAUCACUCAUGCGUACAAUAUUCUAUACAGUUUGUUGGAUUUUAGACUAAAGUUGCGGAGUGGGGAGAGUCGGCUUGGAGGGACGACAACAAAGACGGUCCUUUGACUUACUUUUACAGUUACCGGUUCAGUUGUGUUUUGGUCUUCGACGAGAGAACUUAGAAAUUUUCGCGGAGGCCAUUCGUGCGAUUAUUAACGAACAGGUAGUUUAAAUAUAUAUCUGUAUCACUCAUGGGUACAAUAUUAUAUACAGUUUGUUGGAUUUUAGACAAAAGUUGCGAAGUGGGGAUAGUCGGCCUGGAGGGACGACAACAAAGACGGUCCUUUGACUUACUUUUACAGUUACCGGUUCAGUUGUGUUUUGGUUUUCGACGAGAGAACUUAGAAAUUUUUGCGGAGGCCAUUCGUGCGAUUAUUAACGAACAGGUAGUUUAAAUAUAUAUCUGUAUCACUCAUGCGUACAAUAUUCUAUACAGUUUGUUGGAUUUUAGACUAAAGUUGCGGAGUGGGGAGAGUCGGCUUGGAGGGACGACAACAAAGACGGUCCUUUGACUUACUUUUACAGUUACCGGUUCAGUUGUGUUUUGGUCUUCGACGAGAGAACUUAGAAAUUUUCGCAGGAAUCCACUCUAGCAAGAAUUAACGAAGAGUUGACGCAAGUAUAUUUUCUAUCACUUAUAUUUUCAUAAUUCUGUACUGUUUCUUUUGUUUCAGACUUAGAUUCUGCACUUCCAGGGACUUUGACACACUAUCUCCAAAAUUGGACUUAGAAUUUUUCUCACCUUCGUGCUACUUUGACAAUCUAUCUGCACGAAUGGACUUAGAAGUUUUCGCACUUUCGGAAGACUUUGAAAAUCUAUCUCCACGAAUGGACUUAGAAAUUUUCGCAGGAAGCCACUCUAGCAAGAAUUAACGAAGAGUUGACGCAAGUAUAUUUUCUAUCACUCAUAUUUUCAUAAUUCUGUACUGUUUCUUUUGUUUCAGACUUAGAUUCUGCACUUCCAGGGACUUUGACACACUAUCUCCAAAAUUGGACUUAGAAUUUUUCUCACCUUCGUGCUACUUUGACAAUCUAUCUGCACGAACGGACUUAGAAAUUUUCGCACCUUCGAGAUACUUUGACAAUCUAUCGCCACGAGUGAACUUAGAGAUUUCUGCACUUUCGGAAGACUUUGAAAAUCUAUCUCCACGAAUGGACUUAGGAAUUUUCGCAGGAAGCCACUCUAGCAAGAAUUAACGAAGAGUUGACGCAAGUAUAUUUUCUAUUACUCUUAUUUUCAUAAUUCUGUACUGUUUCUUUUGUUUCAGACUUAGAUUCUGCAUUUCCAGGGACUUUGACAAACUAUCUCCAAAAUUGGACUUUGAAAUUUUCUCACCUUCGAGAUACUUUGACAAUCUAGCGCCACGAGUGAACUUAGAAAUUUUUCC